rnacentral:misc_RNA from 1 species
GAUGAAGAACGCAGCGAAAUGCGAUAAGUAAUGUGAAUUGCAGAAUUCAGUGAAUCAUCGAAUCUUUGAACGCAUCUUGCGCUCCUUGGUAUUCUGAGGAGCAUGCCUGUUUGAGUGUCAUUAAAUUCUCAACCGCACUGACUUUGAAUUGGUGUGGCUUGGAUUUGGGGGGAAAAUUGUUGUGGGCUUUUUUGUAUAGUCUGCUCCCCUGAAAUUGAUUAGCGGUACCUUUGUGGAACUGUCUACAGGUGUGAUAAUUAUCUACAUCUUAGACAUCUGCUGGAAUGCUGCUUUCUAAACCUUACUUGUAUUGACAAUCUUGACCUCAAAUCAGGUAGGACUACCCGCUGAACUUAAGCAUAUCAAUAAGCGGAGGA